CAGUUUUAGAAGAAAUCUAACAGAUUUUUCUUUUCACCUUUAGGAUUUAUUUCUCCAUAAUGUAGAUAUACAUGCUAUAUCUAUGUAUGUGUAUGUAGAGAUGUAUGUGUACAUGUAUGUGUGUAUAUAUGUGUGUGUAUGUAGCAGUGCGGUUAGCAGUGGAGUACAAGGUUACAUUUCGGACACUUCCAGCAGAGGAUAGAAGAGGAGAUAGACUGUGGACUUUUAAAAAGGGUGUCAGACAACUCGAUUUGCAUGUAUUUAUCAGUGUUUCUCACCUCAAAAGCAUAAGAGAAUUAAUGCAUCCUCUCAGGAAUUCUACCAAAGAAACAAAGGAGUUUGGAAU
rnacentral:lncRNA from 1 species